AUCUUAUAUGAUCACCACCCA
rnacentral:snRNA from 1 species